GCAAUAUGGGAGCAGAAGGAAGCAAUUCAUUGUCCUACUCUUGGUAGGAAAAGGAAAAAAAUGAAAAUUGAACAGGAAAGAAGGUGAAAUGCAUCAAAAAAUGGUACAAAGAAAGUAAAUGGUUUUGACUGGUGCUUAUGCUUUGAUUAAACAGUGAAAAUCUGUUUUUCAGGGAAAGUUACCUAAUGCUCAGUUUCUGAAGUCUACUAGAAUUGUUCUGUUGAGUGCAUGAUGUGGGACUUGUCUUAGGGAACUGCAGUUGCUUUUCUGCUUGCAUAACCUUAAUGCAUUCGUGAGCAGCUGGCAUGUCUCAGUGCAGCUAAGUGGGAUAUCAUCAAUGUUAACAAUUUGAAUGGUUUAACAUAGUCCUACUGCUUCCACGGAUACUAAAGGGAUCCUGAGUGUUAAUGGCAAUACUGCCACUGGCCUGCUAUUUUAGAAGAAUAGGUGAAAAACUUAGGAAGUUGCAUACCUCACCACGUCGUCAUCGUCCUCGCUGUCUUCACCACCAUCCUCAUCGCAGCCUCAGGUUAGCCACAGCAGAACGAAGGCUUCACCAUUGUGUCACUCUGCAUCCCUCUCCUGGGCUAAACGUAAUCAUGUAGGUCCUGCAAAAGCUACCAGUCCGUCAAUUCGUCUUCGUCGUUGGCGGCCCUUGAUACGCCUUCCAUCUGUUGGGCUUCAUU